rnacentral:rRNA from 1 species
GGGGGCAUGCCUAAGACAUGCAAGUCGAACGAGACGACCUUUGGAAGACCGAAGUGCUUGCACUGAAGUAAGAAGAAGAUCAUCGUCUAGUGGCAGACGGGUGAGUAACACGUGGGUAACCUACCUUCAAGCUGGGGAUAACAGUUGGAAACGACUGAUAAUACCGAAUAAGAUAUAGCAAUAUAUUGAAAGGAGCCUUUAAAGCUCCACUUAAAGAUGGGCCUGCGGCGUAUUAACUAGUUGGUGAGGUAAUGGCUCACCAAGGUAACGAUGCGUAGCCGAACUGAGAGGUUGAACGGCCACACUGGGACUGAGACACGGCCCAGACUCCUACGGGAGACAGCAGUUAGGAAUAUUCGUCAAUGGGGGAAACCCUGAACGAGCAAUGCCGCGUGAGUGAUGAAGGCCCUAUGGGUUGUAAAACUCUGUUGUAUGGGAAGAACGGCCAUAUAAGGAAAUGUAUAUGGAGUGACGGUACCAUACCAGAAAGCUCCGGCUAACUACGUGCCAGCAGCCGCGGUAAUACGUAGGGAGCGACGUUAUCCGGAUUUAUUGGGCGUAAAGCGUGCGUAGGCGGUUUAUUAAGUUUAAGAUAAAAGCCCGGGGCUCAACUCCGGUUCGUCUUAAAAACUGGUAGGCUUGAGUGUGGUAGAGGUAAAUGGAAUUUCUAGUGUAGCGGUGAAAUGCGUAGAUAUUAGAAGGAACACCAGUGGCGAAGGCGAUUUACUGGGCCAUAACUGACGCUGAGGCACGAAAGCGUGGGGAGCAAAUAGGAUUAGAUACCCUAGUAGUCCACGCCGUAAACGAUGAGUACUAAGUGUUGGAAUUUCCAGUGCUGAAGCUAACGUAUUAAGUACUCCGCCUGAGUAGUACGGUCGCAAGCCUAAAAGGGAAAGGAAUUGACGG